GCUCUCGACCCAGAAACUCUGAGAGGCAUGGAGCUUACCGAUCAAGCUGAACUCGGGUAACACUUAUUGAAGAGUCCUACUUGUCUGUCUGCCUGACCUGCACACAUGAAAUGCAGCGCCCCAAAAAAGGGACGUCAUUACGAAAUAAUGUAUUGAGUAUGUAAGGCAAUAUAAUGAAAGCUGAAACUAAAUUGAUAAUAUAAUAACUGCAAGUAGCUGGAAGUCAAAGAUAAUCUGAAGAUAUGCUUACCUUCUGAUACUGACUCAAUUCUCUUAAUAUAAUAAGUAAAAUAGUCGUCCGUCCCUAUAAGACUUGGUGUGUAUAUAUAUAUAUACUGCUCUACCAAGUAGACUCACUCAUAAGCACUCGUCCAUACUAGGCUCUGUGCCUCGACCAACUGGGCUCGCUAAUAAGCACUCGACCACAGUAGGGAUCAAUAUAUGUAUAUAUAUAAAUGCUCUGUUGUAGUAGGCUCGCUCAUAUGCGCUCGGCCAUACUAGGGUCUAUAUCUCUGCCAACUGGACUCGCCCAUAAGCGCUCGGUCAUAGUAGGCUCGGUAUAUAACUUUAUAAAAAUAAUUUCCCUACCUUGCAACUUUUGUUACCUUUUGUCAUGUGGCCUGUAUGGCUCUGGCUUUGUAGGUGUACUUAUGAGAUUUAUCUUUUCUUUUUCAUUUUACCUUUUAGUCGAUCUGUAUACCUUACUUUGUAUAUACACGGGUUAAUAGGAUGCCUCUUUGGGCCCCUAUAGGUAUAUUGAAAUCAUUUGCUAAAUACUUUGUUGGAUUUACGAAUAUUGUUAUACCUUAUUCCUUGGAUCCGUUUAUCCAUCCGUGCGACUUUACUGUAUCAAGAUAGGUCAUAAUAUACCAUAACUAUUACUUGGAUUUAUCAUUAUUGAGGUAUGCUACCAACUUCUAUCUUACUCACGUUUCUUAUCCUAUAUGUAUAAGUCUAAGUCCUUUUGAUGCUUCAUCAUUACUGUUCAUCUUAAGAGUGACGACCUAACCUCAUUUCAUACUUUGUAUCUUUUAUCCUCCCAUUGUUGAUUCUCCUUAAUAUUGAUCUACUAUAUACCACUGGUAACUUGAAACUUCAUACGCAAUACUUUUCAAUCGGGCUUGCGUUAUAUCAAGGAAUAUUCAAAGUAAUUUUCCUGAUCCACUUAGUGGCGAUACUAUACCGCAAUUACCGUAUUUUAUAGCAUCUCAAGGUGAUUUUCUUACGUGGUUAUUUUAAUCCCAUACAAUUCAUGAAUCACUUUCUUUUACUUUUUUUUUUCAAAUCAUUACUUAAUCGAAGGUCCAACAUCAUCCUUUACAUAUCCAAAUUACACCAUUAUUCUACUAUUAGGGUAGCAUUCCAUCUCUUCUAAAUCUACUUAUGAAUAGUAACUCGUUUGAGUCUAUUCAGGCUAUACUGAGCUUACUAUAACAUAUUGAAGCCAUUAGCUCCCUUGUUUUCAUGGGCCUAAUCUUGAGGGCUAAUAUAUUCUUGUCACUUUCUCACUGCCCUUUCUUAUUCGCAUUCCUGUCCUCCUAAAACCUUACCGUUUUACCAUACUUUAGCUUGCGACCCGUAAAUAUGCAUUUAUACUAUUCAAAACUUCCCUUCAACUUGCUUGCACCAUAGAUUUCCUUAUGUUAUUCUGGAACAUCAAGCGAGACAUCACAUCGUCUCCAACUUUUCUUUAUUCUCUUAACUAGAUCUCUCAGUACCUAGAUAUCAUAAGCUGGAAGACAUGCUGCCGACGAUACCAUUAUCAUUCCCGGUUAUUGGAUCUCCAUGCUUUUUGUUUAGCCUUCUGUCCGAAGUAUGGACUAUUCAUGAUCUUCUACCUUUGAGUAUCUCAUACUCUAUUCACCUUUACCUUACUUACCUUAAAAUAUCGUAUCAUAUCUUCUAUUUCUUUUAUUACCUCCCUUCCACCUAGGUAUAAUUCACGUCCAUAACUUAGAGCCCUAUUAUAAUACUCGCAUCUAUGGUAAAUACACAAUCCGGUGGGAGCUUCAUACUAAUUUCUUAUGAGGCUAGUACUUAUUCUAACUAGCUUCCUUGUAGAGCCGUUAUAGAUUAUGGUUGUUGUAUUAUUUCUCUUGAACGUCUGAUAUUAAGAGUGAUUUUGUCAUGUUCUCAAGCACAACUUCUUUAAUUUUUCUAGGUCCAAUAAUUAGACUCCCGAUUUAAUUAGGUGAUGUAAUUCUCUAGUUUUCUCUUCCUUCUGAUCAACCUUUAUGUAGGCUUAAGCUAUCUUUCAGUCUGUGGCUCACGAUAUCAAUUAUUACCUUAACCUUUCAUGGGAGUUAUGGAAUAUCCACGAUACAAUCUUCUAAUAAUUCAAUCCUUUGUCUAUACCCUGGGUUUAAUUCUUUCCUUUUACUUAUACCGGAGUCUUGUAUGACUGUAUGAUUGUCAACAAAUAUGUUUCUUGGAUAAUGCUCCAAAAUCUUGAGUGUAUCCGUAUCGUACUAGCUCUGGAUCAUUGAUCGAAUAAUUUCUUUCGUUCCAUCUUAACGUUCUUUAAACGUGCACAGUUACUUUUCCUGGUAUUUCUGCCCCUUUGUCGCGUGCAUACUUAACUCAUCCUAGCUCCCAUACAUGCCAGAAUUUUAAUGCAGCUCAUAUAGUCUCGAAUCUUACUUUUGAUCUUCCUCCCCAUUCAUCAGCCAUGGUAGGUGCCAUUUUCUUUUGGAGGGUAUACAAUUUUUGUUGUGAGAUUGCUUUUACAUGACUAUUUCUCCUUUGAGUUACUAUGUUUAGGUUAAAGGCUUUUUUUCUUAUUUCCACAGCUUGUCUUCCAUUAUAGUACUUAGGAAGGAUUCUAUGACUUUUUUUUUAUAGAUGUGGGAUUAUUAAAUUGUAUACUCGACGGACCUCUUGAUGUCCUUCAUUGCCUAUACUUAUCCGUAGUUACUUACCUCCACGCCCUGGAGCUUGUGGGUUGCUUUUGAACUAUUUUUUUACUAUCUUCCCAGUGGCACUCUCUUUUAUUUCUAUAGAACUUUUACGAUACCCUUUUAACUUCCCCACAUUAAUAUAUCUCAAUUAUUAUAAUGUCAUACUGCGAGUCUGAGUUCCUUAUGUUGGGGUUCAUUCUGUUUAUCUUGCACGAUCUAUUGAUUUUUCUGUAUCCUCUUGUCUGGUAAUUACUAGGCUUAUCCUAAAUAGACUACUAACUGUUCAUUGGCAUAUUCUCAUAUCCAUAUUCACGUAAUCUUUCUUGGGUAACUUACCUCAUGUACUGGCUCCUUAUCUAUCAACAAUAUCCCGGGCAGGAACCCUUACUUCCUUUUUUUGACGUCAUGCUUACACAAUGUUAUGUGACCAUAGCACAUCGGUAACAUUUGACCAUCUCAUCGCUUUCUCAUUUUUAUCGCAUAUUUCCUCCAUCAUUCACUUAAUUCCGACUUAAUGCCACAUCAUUCCAUAUUCCCCCUUUAGGGGUAUACUAAAACUUGGAGCUAUGACGACCUGCCUAUAGAUGUUUUUCCUCGUCAUCUUUGGCACCCUUUCAUAUUAUCAAUGACCCUUACUCGCCUUGCGAUAAUCCUUCUAGACCAAGGAUAAAAAAAUCCCUCGCUCGUGAUGGUGAUACUUAGUUUAACAGGCACAAACAGUAUCGUAAUCUUAGCUUUGCUCACCUUGCUUGCUAUAAGGAAGCGUCCCUGAAUGACCAUUCUCUGAAUUUCUCAUGAAUCCUCUUUUGUUGUCCAUUAUAUUAUUGCCAGAAUGAAAUUUGAAAUUCCCAUUAUGCCGAGUACUUUCCAAUCAUUCAGUCCGUAACACAUAUUUAGUUUAUCUUGUUUACCGGUCCAUACUGACUUUUGUACUCUGGAUUAACUCUCCCCUCUGGUAGUCGGGUAGGAGUCACAAACUUAUUUCUCGAAAUGAGGAUAUAGCCUUAUGGUAUAUACUCUUUUGUUGUCUUAAGCCCCAUCACCUUUCAUCUCUUCCUUCAUUUGACUAUAGGUUAUGUAAUGCUCUACCAUUUUUAUCCAUGUAUCAUACAUUAUUCAUAAGGCUUCCUUAUUUCGCUUCUCAUUACUUUGCUAAUAUUCUUGCAUAUCCCUUUACUUGUGAAAACUUCAAUACAACAUUAUUUCGCUUUUAGCUUUCAUUGCUCCAUCCAGUGGCUCUUCAAGUUGCCUAAAGUUCUCACUUUACUGGGGACAUGAGCCACACUAAGUUAUUAUUUAUCCCCUCUAGGCUUAUAGUGCAUGUCUUUGUAGUACUCAUAUCUGGUUGCACUAUUUUAUAAUGCACCAUCUGGGUGUCUCAUAACGAGAUCUAUUAGAACAUUUUUAAUAACCUCCAGAAAUGUCAACUGACACGCAAACAAUUCAUCCAUCAUAUCAUCCUUAGUACGCCCAUGUCUACUAAAGAUCUCACAUUUUCUUUAUUGUAGGCAUCAUACAAAAAUCCAAUUCCUCUGACUCAGCUCGUCCACAACUAUCUCUCUUUUCAAUCUUCAUUCUGGAUGUAUGUAUCGUCUUAUUACGAAUGAUAAGAAAUUGAAAUUUGAAUUCUUAUAAGUGAGCUCUACCACACGAUCUAGAGUAAGAAGAAAGCGAGACAAUCCUAAAUGCCUUGUAGCCUCCUGCUUAUAAGUAUGGUGCACGACACACCCAUAAAUAAGAGUUUACUAGACACGGCUUGUAGACUUCCUAGGACAGAACUGCUCUGAUACCACUUUUGUCACGCCGCUAACUUUGGGGGCCACGACCGGCAACCAGUGCCUCACCUAUCCUUGCAUACCAACUUGCAACUAAGGAAUUCUGAACAUAUAAUGUCAUAAUUUUGGCUAUGGGCCACAUUGCAAAAGGAUAAAGAAUGCUGACUAAAUCUCGAUAUAAAACUUAGCCGAUAAAAGCGUCAUAUUUAUUACAGCUGAAGACCUAUCCAAAUAUACAUACAAGGCCUGAAAGCCUGCACUAAUUGACAAGAUAUGUCUAUAAGCCUUUACUAAUGGAUCUACUGUGAUCGGAACAACUCUCCGACCCACUCAUGACAUAUAUACGAAUGUGUAUAUAUAUCAAGAUACCGUCCUGUAUCCCCCAAAUGUAAAUAUCUAGUGGAUCUCCCGUUGUUGUCCCGUAGUCGAACUCAUAGUGCGCGGGGAUCUACCAGAAUCCCGAUCCAUAUUCCCAAGGGUAAAUACCCACUACAAGGGGAAUCUACCAGGUGCAAUCCCUUAGUUCCAUAUAAUUGUGUAGGGGGAUCGACCAAAAUAUCAUUCUGUAGUCCCAAAUAAACAAGCAAGGGGGAUCUACCAGGAAAUCUCCCGUAGUCCCAAAGUAAACACACAACAACAAGACAAACAAUAUCCAACUCAAAUAUAUAUACACACACACAUAAAAGUUAUACAUAAGGCUCUACACCCAGAAACUCCGAGAGGCAUGGAGCUUACCGAUCAAGCUGAACUCAGGUAACACUUAUUGAAGAGGCAUACUCGUCUGUCUGUCUAACAUGCAUGCAUGAAAUGCAGCACCCCCAGAAAAGGGAUGUCAGUACGAAAUAAUGUACUAAGUAUGUACGGCAAUAUAUUGAAAGCUGAAACUGAACUGAAAAUAUAAUAUUUCAAGUGGCUAGAAGUCAAAGAUAAUCUGAAUAUAUGCUUACUUGCUGAUACUGUAUCUCAGUAUAAUAAGUAAAAUAGAUGUCCAACCCUAUAAGUCUCGGUAUAUAUAUAUAUAUUCCUCUUCAUCUUUGGCACCCUUUCAUAUUAUCAAUGACCCUUACUCGCCUUGCGAUAAUCCUUCUAGACCAAGGAUAAAAAAAUCCCUCGCUCGUGAUGGUGAUACUUAGUUUAACAGGCACAAACAGUAUCGUAAUCUUAGCUUUGCUCACCUUGCUUGCUAUAAGGAAGCGUCCCUGAAUGACCAUUCUCUGAAUUUCUCAUGAAUCCUCUUUUGUUGUCCAUUAUAUUAUUGCCAGAAUGAAAUUUGAAAUUCCCAUUAUGCCGAGUACUUUCCAAUCAUUCAGUCCGUAACACAUAUUUAGUUUAUCUUGUUUACCGGUCCAUACUGACUUUUGUACUCUGUUGUUGUUGUUAUUAUACUAAGAAGAUAUAUAUAUAUAUAUAUAUAUAACUUCUCUGCCGUAUCGCUUAUAAGAGUUCGGCCGUACUAGGCUCUGUAUCUCGGCCAACUAGGCUCGCUCACAAGCGCUCGGCCACAGUAGGCUAGGUAUGUAAUUUACCAUCUGAUGUGAGGUUUCCCAAUAGUGGUCUGCCCAUUGAUUAUAGAUCGAUGGUAAUGAAAAUACUUUUAAUACUAUGGGUGUGUUUGGUAUGAAUGAAAAUAUUUUUCAGAAUUUUUUUUAAUUUUUCCAUGUUUGGUUGGCUUAAAUAUUUUGGAAAACAUUUUCCUUGUCAAUUUAUUUUCCUUCAAUUGGAGGAAAAUGUUUUCCUUAUCAUGAGAAGGGAAAAUAUUUUUCAAACCUCCUUCUCAACCUUUCCCACCCUCACUAACCCACCCAAUCCCCUCUCCAGAAAAAGAUAUUCUUUUAAAAUUUAGUUUUUCCGAAACUACCCACCCUACUACCCCCUACUCCUCCCCCACCCCUCGCAAAAAAAAUAUUUUUUUACCUUAAUUUUUUCUUUUUUGCAAUUUUAAAUUUAUAUUUUUAUUUUUUAUUUUUCUGCACCACCNNNNNNNNNNNNNNNNNNNNNNNNNNNNNNNNNNNNNNNNNNNNNNNNNNNNNNNNNNNNNNNNNNNNNNNNNGAUAUCUCCCCUUUCCAAAAAACCUUAUCUUCUAGUUGAAAUAUAUUUUUCAGUUUUAGUAUUAUUUUUUUGUCGGUUUAAAUGCUCAAAAUUUUACAAGUUCCAAAAUUAUGAGUUUAGAGGUUCAUGUGUUCGAAAGUUUACGGGGUUAGAAGUUAUAAAAUUUACGGGUUCCAAAUUUCGUGGUUUUGAAUUUUUAGCAGUUCGAAAGUUUACGAAAUUUGCGUGUCCAGGAGGUUGUUACUUUGAAAGUUUAUGGAUUCAUAUUUAUUAUAUUUAAAUCAUUUAUGAAUACUUUUGAGAAGUCAUUUUCGUUAAUUUGCAUACCAAACACCGAAAAAUAAAAAAGAUUACUACUUUUUCAAGAAAAUAUUUUCUUGAAAAACAUAUUCCACGGAAAACAUUUUUCGUUAUAUCAAAAACACCAUAUAUAUAUAUAUUUGACAAGAUAUGUCUAUAAGCCUUUACUAAUGGAUCUACUGUGAUCGGAACAACUCUCCGACCCACUCAUGACAUAUAUACGAAUGUGUAUAUAUAUAUAUAUAUAUAUANNNNNNNNNNNNNNNNNNNNNNNNNNNNNNNNNNNNNNNNNNNNNNNNNNNNNNNNNNNNNNNNNNNNNNNNNNNNNNNNNNNNNNNNNNNNNNNNNNNNNNNNNNNNNNNNNNNNNNNNNNNNNNNNNNNNNNNNNNNNNNNNNNNNNNNNNNNNNNNNNNNNNNNNNNNNNNNNNNNNNNNNNNNNNNNNNNNNNNNNNNNNNNNNNNNNNNNNNNNNNNNNNNNNNNNNNNNNNNNNNNNNNNNNNNNNNNNNNNNNNNNNNNNNCUAUAUAUAUAUAAAAUAGACUCUCUGCUCUCUUGAUUAGAAGAAGAAAUACUAAACUGAAUAUGAAAUCCUCAUAAGGAGAAUAUUAUAACUUACGAUGUUAGAAAAAUAUAUGUAAUUUGAGAAAGUAGCAAAAUAUAUGUAAUUUCCGGGAUAUGAUGACGAGAUCAUGUCAAAUGAAAGAAAAGAUUAACCAUAUUAUACCUGCUUCUUGAAUUGCUUGAACGAAUCUGCUUCCACAAAAAUCUGGACGCUAUUCUGCUUAAAGCUCUUAAAAUGUUGAAACGAAAUUUUGUGACUUCUUCCGAAAUUUCAAUAGAAAUUUGUUUGAAUUGUUGGAGGAAAUGAUUCUGCUUGGUUUUGAAUUUCUGUUAGGAAUUUGGAUUUUCAUGUUUUCUUAAAGGCAAAAGGUCUUUGAAACCUAUCCAGGAGUUAGACCUAAGUGAAUUCCUAUUCA
rnacentral:lncRNA from 1 species